CAGGCGGACCGGGCCCCUCUGGCGAUCCCUCGUGAUCGUGAUGUCGGACCGCAUCG
rfam:Phenylobacterium sp. RIFCSPHIGHO2_01_FTLL_70_10 rifcsphigho2_01_scaffold_57037, whole genome shotgun sequence.